CCCUCAAAGUACUCUCCCUCAAAGUAUGCCCUGCGGUCCAAAAAACGUAUGUAACCAAUCAAAUCCUGAAAUUACUGACGUCCGGCUGACUCUGACCUCAGUCAUUCUUAAAGAAGAACGAUUCGAAAGACCGGGGUUUGAGGUCAUCAAGAACACCGCUAAAAUUAUUCCAGAUCGAAGGGAAGUAUUGAUGUCUUUGUUUUAUCCGCUCUACUAAAAGUAAAAUGGCAUUUAGCGUUGUACAUUUGCUAAUGACCGAUGAAGUGGCUGUCGUCCAAGCAAAUGAGUGUCAGAUGAUAAAAAGGGACAUGUAACUGGCCUUCGUAUAAAGAAAGAAGUCACAUGAAAAGAGCAAUUCUGGAACACAGAGAACCAGAUACAUCCUGAGAGAAUUUUUAUAUUGUUAUCCUGGGAGAAUAUUGUGCUUUCAAAGAAAAUCGGGCCACCAGAGAGGUACCUUGCAAUAUUAUUGAAAAUAUUAUAAAAGACUGGUUGAAAAGUGUUUCAUUUAGAGAAAAGUAUCAUAAACAAAAAGGAAAAUGUACAACAGAAGGAAGUUUGUAAACAAUGGAAUAAAAAAUUUGUGUAUUAGCUUGUACGAAAAUACUGUAAUUAAAGUUAUUAAUUGUUCA